AAAAAGAACAGAAAAAUAAUCUGAAUCGCGCCAUCUAUCGUCCUCAAGCGCGGUUCCUUAAAUCACGGAUUAUGUUAACGCGGGGUCAUAGCAGAAAAGAAGAAGAGAGCUGUCAAGUCUGUGGUGAAAAUUCGGUCGAUUGACAUUUUAGAAGUAGAGUUUUUUUUUUGGAGUCGGAACUUACCAGUAGGAACAGCCGAGAUGAAAUAAAAGGAGGAAUAAAUAAGUCAAAUCACGUGCUCUCUGAAGUCAAUAAUUUGAAGGAUACAUAUGGAGAACAAGUAUGAUAUUAAUAUGCCUAUUAUUAACAACGAUUAAGCGUUUGAGAUAUGGUUUAAGGAACUCCUCCGAACUUGAUGCAACCAAAUCUGCAACUUUGGCAGCAACGAUUGGCAAGCAUUGCAAAUUAAAUUAUGAGUAAUUCAUUGGGUAUAGAUAUGUUUACGCAACGCCUCUUACUAUGCCAUCUACAAGGCAUAAAGUGCUAAACAGUACAAAGUGACACUGUAACCUUACGCCUAUAAGUAAUAUGCAAGAUCGUAGAAUGGUAGCAGAAAAUUUUGCGAAAAUUAGGUUAAUAAAGGUCUCUAAUGGAAGUUCAUAUGGAAAUUGUUAAUUUUAUGGCACCAGAUUAAACAUUUCGCUUUCACUAUAAUGAACAUAGUUGUAUGUUCUCUAGGAGCAAUCCGUUGAAUAAUACAUUUAUCAAUUCGCGUCCAGGUGAGGAACGUUAUGGUGAAUAUUUUGUUUCUAUGCCUUGCGGAGCGUUUUUCCACUAAAAUGUUAUUCCUCUCUUUUGUAUUUUAACCAAUACAUCAGUGCAACAAAUUAGACUUCGCGUUUUAUUACAUCUCUGAUGCUUCAGCACGGAAAAUGUGUAUCCUACCUUCAUGCCUGUCACGUGGAAAUGCGAUUUAGAGAUUUGCUCCACCCUGUAUAUUGAAACGCCUGCCGCGUAUACACAAAUCCAUUAGUUCCGCCGAGAGAAUGUGCGCGCCGGUCGUACCACGUACGACAGAAAGUGAUCGGUUGUCAAUGGAUGAAAACAAUCUUCAGAGGCUUUCGAUAAAAAUAAAAAACAAAA